GGUGUGGGGGUGCUGGCAGGGUGCAGAGGGGCUGCUGGCAGAAGCAGCUCAUUGGACUCCUCAGCCCAGGAGCCAACCGAGAUCGCUGCAGAGAACAGGAUCCUGGGUCCCUGGGCUGAGGCAUGUACACUGCUCACCAGGUGCCCUUCCCAGGACCCUUGACAUCUAGGGUCCCAAGGGCUGCCACCCCUCAGCCCUGAGUCUGGGGUUCCAUGCCACCCCUAUGUCCUCCCAGAGCAGUGUCUGGCUUUUCAGGUCUCACUCUGUGGUCACAUCCUUGUGGGUCCUCUGACCCCCACAGCCUCAGCCAGUGCAGCUGUGGUGUCCUUGAGGCUAGACAGGCCAGCCCACUACACCCAUGUAUUACCAGAAGUCCCUGGCUGCCCCCAGCUGUUGGGAAGAGUGAGUAUCUGGGGGUGACUUUCACAAGGCCAUGCCAAUGGGGACCAAGACAGUGAACUCUGGGGCCUCAGGCCAGGACAAGCGCCCACAGCCUGGGAGCCUGGGACCUGAACCUGGGAUAGGGGAAGCUCAGCCGACCUGCAGGUGGCAGCAUCCUGGCCCCAUGAGGACUCCAGCACAGUCUCCUGCUGUGAUGACCCUGAGCCAUCCCCGCAACAGCCCCGCCCACUCACCGGACAAGCUCAAGGCACACCUGGCUGGAGACACUCACGAAACUGCGUGAGUGUCAGGAAUCCCCUGUCGGCGCCGCCUGUGGGCACCUGUCUUCCGCUCAGCAUUGCAAACUGCAUGGACUUCUAUUUACCCAUCAGGAUGAGUAAUUUACAGAUCACUUAAGGAUCUUGUUGAAACACAGACGUGGAUUCAGUAGAUCUGGAGAUGCCAAGAUUCUGCAUUUGUUACAAGCUCCCAGGAAGCCAGGAUCCAGAGAAGUGAAGCCAUUUGCUCAAAUUCAUAAUGUUCUUAAGUGGGAAACCAAGAUUUUGAAUCCAGAGUCUGUUGACAUAUUACAUAGCGUCUAUUGAAUUCUGCAUCAUUUGUAAUGAAAACUUAACUCCCAAUCCUAAAACAAGGAGGAAGAAGAGCGGGAAGGGUCACAGCAUCUCACCAUCCAGCCAGAGCACAGUGUAUGCCAGUGGUGGAGAAAUGGGUGAGCCCCAAGAGCUAGUUGUUGCCUUGGAUGGUCAGAGAAUGAGUCUCUUAUUUCAUCAUGGACCACAGUAGCAGCCUUAGGGGCAGCAUUCAUGUGCUGUUGCUCAGCCUUCACAGCAAAGAAAGCUAUAGGCUGAUCCCUUUAUGAAGCACGGUGAUCCCUGUCUUAACUUUUGUUACCCUGAGGACUUCAGAGGCCAUGGUUAUUGGAAUAAGGAGAUGUACUCACAAUAACCAGUGUAUGGCAUGAGGAUCUGGCUAUGAUGUCAAAAAUUAAAAGCUGAAAUCCCAGUGAUUCCCAUCUGAGUCAUGGGAACACCUCCACCUCAUCCUGGAAGUAACCACUUGUCGCGUUUAUGCGUGUUCUAUGCUGGGAGAAGAAAUAGCCCUUUGAAUUCGCAAGCCUGGAUUCAGAUCCUGAUUCCACAACUCAGUAGCCUUGAGGGACACUUUUCCACGAAGUUUCUGAGAUCAGCACACUGGGUAACACCACGGAAUGGAAAGAAAAGACUUUGGGAGAAAGAAGAUUUCAUGGACUGAUGAAAUACGUAAGCUCAGGGACUACAGCAGAGAAGCAGCAGGUGGCAGCAUUCCAGAUCACUUGGAAGUCAAAAAGGUCCUGAUUAACCUAGGCUUGCAAUGAUGUACUCCAAAGGAUGAGUCUAGGUUUCUAAAGUCCCAAUACCCACUGCAUUAAGAGGUUAAAGAAAUAAAACUGAUUUGCUGUGGCAGCAUCAAUAUGACUGGUGUCUUAUAAAAAGGGGAAAUAUGUACACGGAGAUAUGCACAGAGGGAGAACACCAUGUGAAGAUAAAGGCAGAGACCAUCUGCUUCUAUUAAUGCAAAUCAAGGAGCACCAAAGAUGCCUGCAAACCACUACAAGCUAAGACAGAGGCAUGGAACUGAUUCUCUUACUCACAGCCCUCAGAAGAAACCAAGUAUGUGGACACCUUGACUUUGGCGCUCCAGAACUGUAAGACGAUACAUGCCUGGUUUCUAAGUCAACCAGGCAGUAGUUCCUUGUUUCAGCAGCCCUUGGAAGCGAAUACAACACCCCAGCCUGGGUGAACCAAUUCUGCCCACUGAUGGGAACUGAAUGGAGGAUUUCAGGCCUGAAGGAAGAGAUGGAGUUUUGCUUUGUCACCCAGGCUGGAGUGCAGUGGUGUGAUCUCAGCUCACUGCAACCUCCGUCUCCCGGAUUCAAGCAAUUCCCCUGCCUCAGCCUCCUGAAUACCUGGGAUUACAGAUGGAGUCUGGCUCUGUCACUCAGAAUGGAGUGCAGUAGCAGGAUCUCGUUUCCCUGCAACCUCCACCUCCCAGGUUCAAGCGAUUCUCCUGCCUCAGCCUUUUGAGUAACCGGGACUACAGAUAUUGAAAGAUCAUCACAGAAAUGUGAUUACUGUUGUGGACAAACAUCUCAGCACCUAAUAAGGUCUCCUGAAAAAAAUGCAUUUGCAACAAAAAUGAUUGCAUGCCCUUCAUCUGAAUGCAUGAUGAACUUGAAAAAGAUACAAAAGUCAUUAGGUGCUGGUGACCAUCAUGCGAUCCAAAGUCACUUAGAGAGAAACCUGAAAAGGAAAGCCAUGUUCAACAAACACAGGCCCAGGGCGUCUAACGUCAGACAAAGAAGUAUUACUUCCAGGGUGGGUUCAGAAAUCACCUGUUCAGACAAACGUCGUGCUGCCAGACACAUACACCACUGGACUUACUCCUUUGAGCCUUUUGAAAAUCUGCCAGAGGUGAGUUUUCCCACUUAUUUGGAGAAAAAAUUUCACUGGAGUGCUUUUCCUGGAAGUAGGUUUGGAGGUGUCCUAUAGAGAGCAUGUACACUUACCCUGGUCUUUUAUUCCAGUACAAAAGGCCAGAUUUCCUGGAGAUGGGAAGGUAAUUUUAAAUAGCAGAAUAUGCCUUCAAAGGCCAUUAUCAAGUCUGACCUAAACUCUAGGUUGGCCCUGAUCAUUGUGCCUCUUAGCUGUGCCCUUUGCUGUAAUGAUCAGUUCACAUGCUGCCCCCAUCAUCACAAAGACACCCUCUCAAGCUGCGCAAGUCAGACUGGGUCUGUCAACUUCUUCCUUCCUGAUGCCCAUAAUGAGAUAAGAGGUGAACGAAAUGUACUUCUCUGUAGACGGUUAUAUAACAGGGGGCCAUCUGUGACCCUGCUCCAAGGCAGAGCAUACAUGCUCCUCAUCUGUCCCUCCUACUCAUUUCUCAAUGAUGGCUCCAGAUGUAGAACUAAAGUGAUUUCUGAGGUUGCCUGUUUGGAAUACCCAAACAUUACAGAAUAUCAGAAGAAAAUAAGCCAGUAUUGUUCUUCAGAGGGAAUACCAAGAACUUGAAUUCAAGAGCUUUUCUAAACUUUCCUGGAUAGUCUCAAUUGUCAAGUAAAAAUUGGCACUCAGUGCUGGUAAGUGUGUGGCUCCGUGGGUGCCCUUUGUGUAUCCAGGUGAUAAGAAUGUAAAUCUACAUACUUUGGACAGCUGUUUGGUAAUGGGUUUCAAGCGUUUAAAGAAUAUGUCAUUUUUUUAGCCUGGUACUUUCACCCCCAUUCUAAUAAAAUGGUCUGAAAUUCAGACAGAGCUUUAUGGAAAAAGGUGGUCAUUACUGUGAAACCGUGGAAACGAACUAAAAUAGCCAACAUUUAGGGAACCAGUAAGUCCUUUUUGCCAAAUUCCUCAAUGAAAUAUUUGAAGCCAUGUGAAAUGAAGUUCACAAAGAAUUUGUUCUGGGAAAAAUGCUAAUGUUCUAAGGACUCACUCAAAAAACAAAACAUAAAAUUAAAUAUACAGUAUAGUCUCAAGUUAAAAUUUGUAAAUGUUCCACAAAGACAGCAAGAACUAGACCAAAAUGUUCAAGGAACAGACCAACAUGUUCAGGCCGUAAGAUUACAAGUGAGUUAACUUAAUCUCUUCUAUCUUUUUGUCAUUGUCUCAAUGUGCAUGUAUUACUUUUAUACAUUAGAAAAGUGUUGCUUUGAAAAUCUAAUAUUUGGUGAUAAAAGUCAGAAGACUAACUUCCUGGGGGUAAGGGGACGCUAUUGAUUAGAAAGGAACACGAGGAAACUUCCUGGAGUGAUGGGAAUAUUCUGUAUCUUAAUUUGAGUGGUGGCUAGAUGGUUUGUACACAAACAAAAAAUCCACUGGAUUGUACUACCAGUGUGUGUGUACUCCAUUUGCAACAAAGCCAUACAUUUUGCUUCCAUUUUUA